AUGCAGGGUGCGAGGGAGCUUGUGACUUGACCACAGGUUACGGCCCCUUGAGCCAGGGGUGCACCCACCACCAUGCACAACACCGCCACACAUGCAAGCUUAAGGGACAUUGAGCUAGCCAUAUCGAUUAAUCACAAGAAAAACAAACUUGUAAGGAAAAUGCUUGCUUGGAGUAGUAGUACUAUUGCUGAUUGUCGUGGUUAGGGCUUGAGGGUAGGAGGGUUUUUAUAGCCAAAAGUAGUAGCGGGUGAUGUCUGAAUUUUACUUUCCUAGCUAUUAGGUAAGUUGAGAUUAUCCGAUCCAAACAUUAACACACCACAUUAAAAGUUGAGACCAUUCAAUUAGGUUCAACUGCCAACCUACGUGAUUAUUGUUUUCUUUCAAUACAAUUAAAACCAGCGUCCAUUUGAUUUCACUCAAUCAUGCCUCCACAGCUAGGACUCAAAUAUUGGUUUAACUUUUUUCUAGGUGUUUUCUUAUAAACAUGAGAUUUACAUUUGAUGUAUUUAUAAAUGCAUUUAUUGUCAGAAUGAUACCAUUUUAUUAAAAGUAAUUUGAUUUAUAAUUGUUUGUAUAUAUACUUUUAUAUAUUAAGUCUUUAAUUGAAUUGGUAUUACGAUUCACCCAAGCAUCUAUUUAAUUGAAAAUUUGUUAAAAUAUUCAUAUAACAAAUAUUAAUAUUAAUAUAAAUGUAUUUUUAUUUUUAUUAUAAAUAAAACUAUAAUAAGAUUUAAACUUAUGACUCAUAAAUUUUACUCUUUUUAACUUAACUAUUUCAACUAAAAUUUCAUUUAGUUUUAAUAUAAAUUUUUAUAAAUAUAUUAUUUACAUGAAUUUUCCUUUUCCAGGCGGUAUGCCAUGGAACUAAUAUAAAAUAUAAACAAAUGGUUAUUUUGUUAUUUUCAAUGGAAAAAAAAAACUUCACAAGAUUAGGACACAUGCAUGGUUUUUUUAAUAUAUAUAUAUAUAUAUCAUGCAACAUUCUAAAUCUAUUUAUAGAUUAUUUUGUUGAUUGAAUUUUUAUUUUUUUUUAUUUUGGUAAUUAUAUAAAACUAAAUAUUUUCUUCGCGCAAUGUUAAGAGCAGUUUGAAAUUUAAAAGAAGUGUGGAUUCUAAUAAUAAAUUUAGUUAUCUAAUGUUUACAUAUUUUAUUAAUUUGGUCUUAAAUAUAAAAAUUAAAUUCAACAAAAUUAGCCCUCAAUGUUUACAAAAUUUUUCAUUUUAAUUCAAAUUCUAAAAUAAUCCAAUAAAUUUAGCUCUCAACAUUUACAAAAUGAAAGGAUUUGAUUUUUAAAAUUUUAAUUUUUUUUUUUAAAAACCCAAAACACAAACCUAAAUAAACUGAAAAAGAAGAAGGAAUAAUUAUCAUCACCACGAUCUAAUCUCUCAACUUUAAAAUAAGACUUCAACUUCGGUUUAACCCCAAGACAAGGCGAAACAUUGAAAGUAAGUGCAGCGGAUGCCAUUGAUUCUCCUACCUUUUGGCUAAACACAUAAAUUUGAACAACUUCAUACAUAACUAGCAGCAGUACUAAAAAAUCAUUAAUACUAUAUUUUCAAGUACAAGAAAUUGAAAAAAGAAUCACGGGUAGAGUACAAAAAUGAAAUUUGGUGUGAACCUAGAUUAACAAAACAAGGUUCACGGUUUCUCAAAAACACAAUACUAAAUUUUUAGAAUUUCUUGUGAAGAUCAAGCAAUGAGACAAAUACUGAAAUUGGCAAUGCCUUAAUAGCAAAUAAUAAUUCAAACCAAUGUAGAAAAAAGAUGAAGAAGAAGAAGAUAGGAAAAGAAUUUUUAGUUUACAUUAAAAGCCUUGAAAAGGUAGACCGAUAGGAUUGAUUGUUUUGAAUAUUACUCAACUUUCUCAUUAAUUCUUGUACUAUUAUGGCUAAGUGUGUUUUUAGAUGGUAAUGAAUUUUUUUAAUUGUUAAUAAUUUUUACAAUUAUUACACUUGAUUUGGCAGUUGUUUUUCUUUUUAAUUUACAAAAUUUUAAAAAAUUAAAAAUUUCUAUUUUGUAAAUGCUAAGAGCUAAAUUUAUUAUUAUUUAUUUUAGAAUCUAAACUAAAGUGACAAAUUUUGUAAAUAUUUGGUGUUAAAUUUAUUGGAUUUUUAUAUUUAAAAUCAAAUUGAUAGAAUGUGUAAAGAAAGUUAAUUUUUUUAUUAGACAAAUAAAAAAUAACCCAUUUCAACACUUCCGAAAAAUUUUCAAACGGCCGUUAACAUUUAGUGAUGAAAAUAUUUGAUUUCAUAUAGUUUAAUAAUUAAAAUAAAAAUAAUUAAAAAUUUAGUAAUCAAAGUAAAACACAAGUGAUAUUAUUCUAGUGAUCAUUUCUGUACUUGACCCUAAUUUUUUUUUCAAAACACUGUUAAAAAACGAUUAAUUUCUCGUUUUGGCCGGAGUUAAAAUUUUUAAUAUAUUUGUUUUUAUUAAAUUUAAAAAUUAUAAUUUUACAUAAUAUAUUUUUGAUAGAAUACAUAUGAUAUAAUUUUAAUCAGUGACACCUGUUAAAGCUUGUUAGAUCUCCUGUAUCUCUUUCAAUCUGGUGGUAAAUGAAGCAAUCAAUGAGUAUUACAACCAGCCACAUGUCAUUCAAUUCACAUUAUAUCAAUCUUUUCCCUUUUCUCUCAUUUUGGUAGUUAAUUCCUUUUUUUGUCAUCGAAAUUAUAUUUUUUUCUCAAAUUGAUAAUUUCCUUAAUCCGUUAAGUUUGUUAAAAGAAACCUUAAUCUUAUUUAAAUUAUAUCUUUUUUUUUUUAUUUUGAUACUUAAACAUUUUUGUCACAUGUGGUAUGUAAUUUAUUUUUUCUUAAGUUGUUAGUUUAAUUAUUACUCAAAUAGUUAAGUCUAUUUAAAAAAAGAUAACUAUUUAAAAAUUACCAUAUUCGAACUAGCUAGGCCAUUAGUUCCUGGUUUAAUCAGUUUAUCUAGUUUGAUGAAAUCAAUUAUUAAAAAUUCAUAAAAAUAAAAAUGUUAAAAAAUAGAGAAAACUAGCUCAACUAGUUUUUUUUUUAAGCUCGACUCAAUCAAUCUGUAUCAGUUUGUAGGUUAAUCGGUUCAAGCCCUAUCUCCAAACUAGUAUCCCAGUUGGUUCCUAGUAUUAAGGGUGAGCAAAAUUUGAAUCGACUCGAAAAAAUUUAAAAAAGUUCAAAUUUUGAAUUAUUUGAAUCGAGUUAAUCGAAUCAACUCGAUUUUUUUUUAAUUUCAAGUUCGAGUCGAGUUGAGUUUUUGAAUUCAAAUGACUCGAAUAAUUCGAUUAAGCCGAAUACCAAACUAUAAUAUUUUACAUUUUACCUCAAACCCCAAACCCUUUUACUUUUCCCCCAAAACUUUACUCAUUCCUCCUUGUCUGCCCCUGUAACGCCCCAAAUUUUGAAUUGUUACUGUUAGUUUCUAUUUAUAAGUAAGUAUUUGCUUCAGUGGUUAAGUGUUAUGUGUUGGUGUUUGGAUCGGGGGUUCAAGUUACACUUUUAGAGAAUUUUAUUAUUCUUUUGUUUCAACUCUUAUCCUUGAAUGCUUGAAUUAAGUUUGUAUCUGCAUUAAUUUGUGUCAAGAAUGAGUCUUCUAGUUUAAUGGUUAAGUUUUGUAUUACCUAUGGUCUCGUGUUCGAGUCUCUGCGUAGGCAAUAAAGAAAUAUUUUGGCAUGCUAUCGGGAAAUCAGUUUUAUUUUAAUAAUUAUUUUUAUUUAAAACUUAUUUUUAGUUUUUUUUAUUUUGGUUCUUCUCCUUCCUUACUGUUCAUUUCCUUCUUCUUUUUUCUCCUUUUGUAACACCCCUAACUCGAAUCCGUCGCUGGAACAGGGUUAGGAGUAUUAUUGAAGUUUACAAUUUAAACAGGCAGAAAAAUUAAACAUUUCAUAACAUAUAGCAUUCAUGUUAGAAACCAAUCAUAAUUAUGCAUAUUGUCCCUAAUACGAGCCCUCGAGGCCCAAAAUACACCUUAGAAAUAAUUCGGGACUAAAUUGAAAAUUCGGAGCAUUUUUUAGAAACUUAUAAAAUUUUUAAAACUACAGGGGUCACAUGGCCGUGUGGCUAGGUUGUGUGACUCAUAUGGCCAACAGACACGCCCAUGUCUUAGACCGUGCGGGUAUUCGAAAUAGGGACACACGGUCGUGUCCCAGCCAGUGUCCAUGCCCGUGUAACUCACUAACUUGGGCCACACGGUCAAGCCAUACGCCCGUGUGCCAGGCAUUGUGAGCAUACUAACUUGCAUUCUUUAAAAGAUACAGGGGACACACGGCCAUGUCACCUGACCGUGUGUGACACACGCCCGUGUCUCUGCCCGUGUGGACAAAAAUAGGCUAUUUUUCAAGUCAUAAAUAUUCAUGUAUUCUUUAAAAGAUACAGGGGACACACGCCCGUGUCUCUGCCCGUGUCUCUGCCCAAUUUGGUACCAACCUAAACACAACAAUUUGCAUAUAACCAAGUCAUAAAUAGGCAUCCAAAACCAGCCAAAAUCAAGCUUAAAACAUGUAAUAUCAUCACAUACAACCAAUAUGCCCUUAGGCACCUCAAAUGACAACUUAUAAUAUUAAUAUUCAUGUAUUCAAUAUAGCCAAAUGUAUAACUCACUUAUAUGCAUAUUUUCAUCCAAAGUUUAUUAAGCAAAUUUACAUCAUUUCUUACCAAAUUACUUACCUUCCAAAACAUAUUAUUUGGUGCUAAAAUGUAUUUAACAUACUAACAUAUUUAACUUAUAUGCCUUACAUAUCCAGACACCAAUUCAUGAUCAAUUCUUCACAUUCCAAAACACAUAUAUGAAAUGCACAUUAGGUUACCUUUUUACCACUCUUUAUUCAAUCAUGAACCAAACUACAUGUCAACCAUAAUAAGCAAAAUAUGCACAUAUCCAAAAUUCCAUAACACAAACAAAACAAAUGGCUAAUCUCAACAAAACACAUAUAAGCCAACAUUGGCCAAACUAAUCUAUACAUGCCAUUAUAACCGAAAUUAAACAACCGAAUGUACCAAAAGAGCCAAUGGAUAGUGUGAUAUAGCUCCGACAAGCUUUCAACCAGAACGAGCUUUCGAAUCACUAAAAACACAGAAAAUAACACAGAGUAAGCAUUCAAGCUUAGUAAGUUCAUAUAGCAUAUAAUUUAACUUACCAUUUAGUCACAUUUAAGGUAAGCAUACAAAACAUAUCCAAACUCAAUUAGGAUAAAAGCCUCAACACAUAUCCUCAUCAACCAUGUUAGUCAUGUAAUUCAUAUAAAUAUCAAGAAACAUGUAUGAGCUCAACAAUAAUCAAACUUGCAUGUACAUAUAAUUUCCACAUCAUGUAUUUACAUAUCAUGUACAAAUCAUUUUCAUAUAUCUCAUGUAAAUACAUGUAGUAGUUUGUAUUGAACUCAUGUAAUAUCAUAACAGAACAGUGCCCGUUGAACCAUUUAGAUUAUUGUUGGAUACGCGGAUAGUACACAUGAGGUGUACUGAACUGUAAUUCAUCAAUUCAUGUACAUGUAUGCUCAUAUGAGCUAUAAACAGUAAGCUCCUCUGAGAUGAAUAACAAUAAGCUUGUACGAGCUGAAUAUCGGUAAGCUCAUAUGAGCUGAGUAUCGGUAAGCUCAUAAGAGCUGAAAUCGAUAACCCUAAUGACAUGUUUACCAAGCCAUGACAUUCCACUAACACAUUUAACCUUUAAAAUUAUUUCAAUUUACAAGUUUAAGAAAGAACAUAAAAGAUGAUACUUGGCUUUAUUUUACUAAAUUUUGUUAUUUACUUAAUUACUUAUUUAACCUUUAAAAUCAUUUCAAUUUACAAGUUUACUAAGCCAUGACAUUCCACUAACACAUUUAAGGGUUAUUUACCAUAUAAGGACCUCUACUUUAAAUUUUUAUAGCUAUUUAAUACCUUUAGCUAUUAGAACUUUACUUUUACACUUUACGCGAUUUAGUCAUUUUUAUCAAAUUGAACAUGUAAACGGUAAAAUUUCUUAACGAAAUUUUCAUAUGGUAAUAUUAUCAUGUUUUCGACCAUAAAAUAAUAAUAAAAUAAAAUUUUUUACUUCAUAUUUGUGGUCCCAAAACUACUAUUCUGAUUUCACUGAAAAUGGGUUGUUACACCUUUCUUGCUUGAUUGCUUCCGUAAGUUUGCUAUCGUGCUUAAUUGGGCAUUCUGUGUGGUUUCUUACAUUGAUUGCAAGGAUAUUGCGUAAGUUAUGUUGUUGUUUUUUACCUAUUUUUUCUAGACUUCGUCUGUUUCGUCGAGGUUAGAUAUUACUGUUAAUGGUUGUAAAAUCUCGUUAAUAGUUCCAAUGGAUCUUCUUUUAGGAAAAGGUUUCAAAAGUAACAUUUCCCUGUGAGAUUAGGUCCGAAUUGUUGUUGCUUGCUUGUCAGUAAUUGAAAAUUUCUAUUUUGGAUAGCUGCGUCGAAGUUUUCGACGAACGUUAGUUUUGAGUGCUAAUUUUGGCAUUUUGAGUUGAUUUAGUCAUUUAAUUCGUCAAUUAAUUGUCGUUUUAGGUUUCAGAUUCUUGUGUGUUGCUUCUACAUCGAAACUACAUCAAGUGUGUAACGAAAACUCAUUUUUCUAUGAUUUACGAAUGCUAGAAAACAUGGCUGUUAAUCACACGACCGUGUGUUAGGCCAUGUAACUUACUGUUUAUGUAUUAAAGUCACCGAGCCAAGGACGUGGGCGUGUGUCCUAGUCGUGUAACUUACUAUUUGUGGAUUGGAGUCACACAGGCUAGGGACACGUUUGUGUGUCCAGACUGUGUGAAGGAAAUUUUAUGAAUUGAGUCACACAAGCGUGUGCUUGACUAUGUCAUAGACCGUGUAACUCACUUUUUUGAGCCACACGAUCGUGUGCCAGGCCGUGUGAUAGAUCGUGUGCUACACGGGCCAGCCUUCCGGGACAUGUGAAUCCACACAAGUGUGUGGGUCAAAAUUUCAAAUUUUUUAUUAGGGCCGUAAACAUCAUUCCAGUCAAACGUAGGCCUACUGUAGGGUCUGGAUGAUCUGAUUUGGGUUAUAAAACCCAUUGACUAGUUAUCUGUUUCUGUAUAAACUGUUAUUUUAUAUACAUCAUAGAAUUGUAAACUAGAGAGUAGUUGUAUUCUGUAUUAAUUGAGUAUAACCUGAAAUUUGUAACAUCGUAUGCUUAUAUCUGUAUCUGUAACAUUGCAUCUGCAUUGGGGUUGGGAUUGAAUAAGGAGGAAGUUAUGGCAGUUAAAUAAUCUGCUAAGACUGGUGGCUAAGACACGUAAAUGUAUCUAAUUUUGGUGACUUUCGCAUUCUGUCCUAGCAAUUAGUCUGCAACCUUUUGAACGUGACAUAUGGUCACUAUGUGGUGUGUAGGGACGAUACCCUUUUUGGUGUGUAGGGUUGGAUGCAGAUGGUGUGUAAUUGACAUAUUCUACUCUAUUUCCGUAUAUAAUUCUGAGAACUGUUCUAACUUUAAGAAAUUGAAGAUCUAUUUUGUUGUUUCACUUAAUAAUAAUAUAAGUUAUACGCUAUGUAUAACACCCUUUACCCGAGACCGUGGUCGGAGUCGAGCAUGAGGUGUUACUUGACUUAACUUAAAAGUUCAGGGCAUAAAAAUUUACUUUCAAAAUUAAUUUCACCAUUCACAAUAAAGUUGUCCACCUGAGCAGCAGUCACUAAAUUAAUUAUAACUCAAGCUAAGAAACUCGAAAUUUAGAUUCGUAAAUUUUCCCUGAAACUAGACUCAUAUAUCUAUUCACAAAAAUUUUUCAGAAUUUUUUAUUUGACCAAUUAGUACAGUUUAUUAGUUGAAGUCUCCCCAGUUUCACUAAUCGACUAUCCUGACCUCUCGUCACUAAAAUUCAAUUAUCUCAUUAUACAGACUUGACAUGCUGAUUCCACUUAUUUAUACUUAAAAUAUACUCAUUAAGGAAUUUAAAAAUAUAAUUUAUAACUCAUAAUUCUAUUUGUACAAUUUUUAAUGAAUUUCUAAAGUCAGAACAGGGGACUUCAGAAUCAUUCUGACUCUGUCUCACUAAAAUUAAAAUAUCUAAAAGUAUAUAACUCUUUUGCUUACUCUAUUGCUUUCAUGUGAAAGUAGACUCAUUCAGAUUUAAUUUCAUCUCUCGCUAAACAUAUAAUUCUAUUUCUACAAUUUUUGGUAAUUUUUCAAAGUUACAUCAAUGCUGCUGCCCAAAAAUAGUUCCAUUGAAAUUUUUAAAAAAAAAUUCAAUAUAACCCCUUUAUAAUUAUCUAACCUUCCCUGCAAAUUUCAAAUCACAACCAAUUUCAGUAUUUCAACUACUUCACUUAAAUACUAAUGAAGUUCAACUAAUCAACCAUUUCAAACUAAAAACAUGUAUAGUUCAAUGUUUAACACAACCAUCACAUUCAAAUUUAUUCAUUCUAUUACUUUUUACUUCAAUUCCCUAUACAUGUCAUAUAAAUCCAAAAAGUUGUUUAACAAAAUCUACAGGAGUAAAUCUGGAUAGUGUGAUUCUUGGUGUAGAUCUGAUCCUCCGAAUGUAUAAAUACGUCAAUCUACAAGAAUCAAUAAACACACAAUUAAGCGUAUAGAAAGCUUAGUAAGUUCAUAGGCACCAAACAUAAAUCUUACCAAACAUUUAUACACUUAUACAUUAUACACCAUUACUAAGUUUACCUGUCAACCACAAUCUUUGGUGAGUUCCUUGGUAUAAACUCACUACUACUUAUUCUUUUACCAUAAUUCCUUUGGGCCCAUUUGUCACUUACCAUCCUUGAUCAAAAUUAAGGAACGGUUACGGAAAAUUGAGUACUUCACUUUCACUUUGCCAUAGUAUAACUAUGGUCUUACGUAUGAUCAAACAUCACUUGUCCUUGAUAAGAUAAGUGUAGCUAGGCAACCACUUAUCACUUUGUCACUUGAUCAGAUAAGUGCAGCUAAAGCUACCAUUUAUCACUUUAUCACCACUUAUCACUUGUUCUUGAUUAGAUAAGUGUAGCUAAAGUUACCACUUAUCACUUUGUCACCACUUAUCACUUGUUCCUAAUCAGAUAAGUGUAGCUAAAACUACCACUUAUCACUUUGUCACUUGAUCAGAUAAGUGUAGCUAAGCUAUCACUUAUCACUUUGUCACUUGAUCAGAAGUACUCAAAUCCGGUGUUCUGCUCAAUUUGAUCAUUUAUUCAGUUUUCACAUUUUUAUUUUAUUCUCAUUUCAUCAAUAAAUAUAUAUAUUUCAUCAUACAUUAUAUAAUUCAUGAAAUUAACAUUUAAUCAUUAAAUUUUAGCCAUAUGAACUUACCUGGGUUGAUUUGCUGAAUUUGUAAAAGUUUAGGGACUAAUCAGCUACUUUUUUUUUCCUCGACUUGUUUCGGGUUCUCAAUAUGAUUCAAAUAUAUGAAAAACCAACUUGGAGGGACUCUUCAAUGGUGUUUUUUGCUAAAAAAUAUGAGGAAUUGCCUAGAAACACUUUUAGUUAAGAUUUUUAUUUGUUAUUUUUUACAAAAUUUCCAAUUUUGCCCUUAUUACAUCACUUUUUCAAAUUUUUCUUCUCUUAUGUCGUCUCAACUAUUCCAUAUUGGCAUAUUUAUGCCUUAAGUCCCUCCUUAUUUACCACUUAAGCUAUUUAAUCACUUUUAACAAAUUUUACAUUAUUUUCAGUUUAAUCCUUUUUAAUUAAUUAACCACCCAAACGUUAGAAUUUUCUAACGAAAAUUUAAUACCAACUCAAUGACACUCCAUAAAUGUUUCUAAAAAUAUUUAUGGCUCGAUUUAUGAGGUUGAGGUUUCAAUACCUCAUUUUCGAUUCUAAUUAUUUUAAUAUUUAUUCUUAGUACAUUAUUCACUAUUUCAAAAAUUUUCCUAACUUCGCAUUUAACUUAUACUCACUAAAUUAAUAAUAUUUUCUACUCAUUUGUCAAAUUUAAUGAUCUCGAAUUACCAUUCCGACACCACUGAAAAUUCAGGCCAUUACAACUCUCCCCCCAUUUUGGAAAUUUCAUCACCGAAAUUUCGUACCUGAAAAUAAAUUCGGAUACUGAAAUCUCAGCAAUUCCUCUGUUUCCCAGGUUGCCUCCUCAGAUCCAUGUCGAUUCCAUAACACCUUAACUAGUGGUACAUGUUUAUUCCUCAACUCUUUAACCUUCUGAGCUAAAAUUUUCACCGGUUCCUCUGAAUAAGUCAUGUCAGGUUGAAGCUCUAUUUCCGUAUGAGGAAUUACAUGUGAUGGAUCUGAUCUGUACCGUCUCAACAUAGACACAUGAAACACAUUAUGAAUCUUUUCAAGUUCCGGGGGCAAAGCUAAUCUAUAGGUUACCGGACCGAUUCUUUCAAUGAUUUCAUACGGCCCGAUAAAUCGUGGGCUGAGUUUCCCCUUUUUGCUGAACCGCAAAACUUUCUUCCACGGUGACACUUUCAAAAAUACACGAUCACCCACAUUAAACUCUAUAUCCCUUCUCUUCAAAUUUGCAUAUGAUUUUUGCCGAUCGGAGGUAGCUUUUAAACAAUCUCGAAUAAUACGAACUUUUUCUUCAGUUUCCUGAGUCAAUUCCACUCCCACUAGUUUCGAUUCACUUAAUUCAGACCAAUAUAAUGGAGUUCUACACUUUCUUCCAUACAAAGCUUCAAACGGUGCCAUUUUAAUGCUAGUUUGAUAACUAUUAUUAUAAGCAAAUUCGGCUAAAGGUAAAUACCUUUCCCAGCUACCGCCGAACUCAAGUAUACAACACCUUAACAUAUCUUCUAAAAUCUGAAUCACUCGCUCUGACUGCCCAUCUGUCUAGGGAUGAAAAGCUGUGUUGAAAUUUAAUUUGGUGCCUAAAGCUUCCUGUAAUUUACUCUAAAAUCUCGAGGUAAAUCUCGGAUCUUGAUCUGAAAUAAUAGAUGUCGGUACCCCAUGUAACCUCACUAUCUCAGACACAUAUAACUCCGCUAACUUUUCAAGCUGAUAAUCUGCUCUGACUGGAAUAAAAUGUGCUGACUUAGUUAACCGAUCAACAAUCACCCAUAUUGAAUGUUUCUUCUUCAGAGUUACUAGUAAUCCAGAUACAAAAUCCAUCGUAACAUGUUCCCAUUUCCAAUCUGGAAUCAUAAUGGGCUGUAACAACCCUGUCGGCACUUGAUGCUCAGCUUUCACCUGUUGACAGAUCAAACAUCUUGCUACAUACUCAAAGAUUUCCCGUUUCAUUCCGGGCCACCAAUACAUUUUCUUCAAAUCACAAUACAUUUUUGUACUACCCGGGUAAAUAGAACACAUACUACUGUGAGCCUCUGAUAAAAUAUCAUUUUUCAAGUUUAAAUUAUUCGGAAUACAUAUUCUAUUACGAUAAUAUAACAUACCAUUUUCAUCAAUGGAGUAUUCUGAGCUUAACUUAUCUUGAACCAUCUGUCGCUUUAUCAUCAAUUUUGGGUCAUCAUCCUAUAACUCCCGAAUCCGUUGAAAGAACACGGGUUUAGCCUUUAAUUCUGCUAGUACAGAACCAUCCUCAUUAAUAGAUAAAUGAGCAUUCAAUGCCCGUAGUGCAAAUAAUGAUGAUUUCCGACUAAGCGCAUCUGCUGCGGCAUUUGCUUUCCCUGGGUGAUAGUCAAUGACAAGAUCAUAAUCUUUCAGCAACCCCAACCAUCGUCUCUGUGUCAAAUUUAACUCUUUCUGAGUCAUUAAAUACUUCAAGCUUUUAUGAUCAGUAUACACGUAACAUUUCUCACCAUAUAAGUACUCUCCAUAUCUUCAAAGCAAACACGAUCGCUGCCAAUUCCAAAUCAUGUGUAGGAUAAUUCUUGUCGUGCGGUUUCAGUUGCCAAGAAGCAUAUGCCACCACUUUGCCUGACUGAAUAAGUACACAGCCCAACCCAUUUACAGAUGCAUCACUAUAUACUACAAACGGUACACCCGAUUCUGGUUGAGUCAACACUGGAGCCUCUGUCAACAUCUUUUUCAACUGAUCGAAACUCCGCUGACAUUCAUCUAACCAUAUAAAUUCAACAUUCUUUUGUAGCAAUCGAGUUAACGGUAAGGUAAUCAUUGAGAAAUCUUUGACAAAUCGACGAUAAUAACCUGCCAAUCGUAGAAAACUCUGCACUUCAGUCACAUUCUUCGGAACUUUCCAAUUUAUCACUGCCGCUACCUUACUUGGAUCCACUCUUAUUCCAUCAGCUGAUACAAUAUGACCCAAAAAUGCAACUUCAUGGAGCCAAAAUUCACAUUUGCUGAAUUUGGCAUACAAUUGUUUCUCCCACAAAGUCUGUAAUACAAUCAUUAGAUGUUGUGCAUGUUCGGACUCUGUCUUUGAAUAAAUCAAUAUAUCGUCAAUGAACACAACCACAAAUCUAUCCAAAUAUGACUGAAAAAUUCUAUUCAUCAAAUCCAUAAAAGCAGCAGGGGCAUUGGUUAAACCAAAUGGCAUCACCAAAAAUUCAAAAUGACCAUAUCGAGUUCGAAAGGCAGUUUUCGGCACUUCACACUCUUUAACUUUCAACUGAUAAUACUCGGAUCGAAGAUCUAUCAUGGAAAAUACUGUAGCACCUUUCAACUGAUCAAACAAAUCAUCAAUAUGAGGCAAAGGAUUUUUAUUCUUUACUGUUACCUUAUUCAACUGUCUGUAAUCUAUACACAGUCUUAAAAAACCGUCCUUCAUUUUCACAAACAAGACAGGUGUACCCCAGGGCGACAUACUCGGUCUGAUGAACCCUUUAUCUAAUAACUCCUGCAGCUGCGCCUUCCGUUCUUUUAACUCGACUGGAGCCAUUCUGUAUGGUGUCAUUGAGAUAGGAGUUGUUCCGGGGAUCACAUCAAUUACAAAUUCAACUUCUCUAUCAGGUGGUAGACCGGGUAACUCUUCAGGGAACAUAUCAGGGAAUUCAUUCACCAUUGGCACUUGUUCGAGCUUCAAACCAGAACCCUGAGUAUCCAGGAUAUAGGCCAAGAAUGCUUCGUUGCCUUUGUGUAAUAACCUCUGAGCAGAGAGAGCUAAAAUAAUUCUGACUGUAUCACCCAGAUUUUCAGACCCAACUGAGAUUAUAUCUCCCGUUUGACAUUUCAAACUGAUUUGUUUAUCACGAUAAUUCACUACCGCAUCAUGUCUCAUUAACCAGUCCAUCCCCAGAAUAAUGUCAAAUUCCCGAAAAGGUAACAACAUCAAAUCAGCGAGGAAUUCAUAGCCUUUCACUUUCAGUGGACAAUUACGACAUAUCAAAUUAACCAUCACACUUUGACCUAAUGGGUUUGUGACUUGUAUAUCAAAUUCAGUGGACUCAACAGAUAAUUUCUUUUUAGAUGCUAACAUAGUGCAAAUAUAUGAAUGAGUAGAUCCAGGGUCUAUCAAUGCAUAAACAAUAACAUCAUAAAGAUAGAAAGUACCAGCAAUUACAUCAGGAGCCGUAGCCUCUUUCCUUGCUCGAAUGGCGUAGGUACGUGCUGGUGCUCUAUUCUCUGAUCGACCAACUGAUUCCCUCGUACCCGAACGGGUAGUCCCUGUAGCACUGCUCUGGCCCGAACGUCUACUUUUUUGGGGAAUGGUUCUCUGUAUUUCUUUCUGUUCCACUUCAUCUUUUUACAGUCGGGAACAAUCUCGAAUAAGAUGAUUAGUACCCUCACAUUUUUAACAAGCCCCUAUCUUGGUCCUGCAUUCUCUGAAAUGAUAUCUUCCACAAUAUUGACACUUAGGCCGGGGAGCAUUCUGAACACUGCUCACACUUGCUGGAGGUCUAUCGAAUACCCUGAAAUCAGAUUGUCUUGGUCUAUCUCUACCCGAUCUUCUCGACAGUGAUGUAGUUCGACUAAUUUCUUCUCUAGAUUUGUUCACUGGUAAAUCUAAAAAUGACUUAGAAGCACCUCUUUUGAAUGGCUCUUUACUUUUUCGAUCCCGCUACAUUUUUCUGUUGUAUACUUCUUCGAGCUUUUGAGCACGGUCUGACAGAACAGGGAACUCUCGUAUUUCAUUACCCCCAAUCAUCAUUCUAAUUUCAUCAUUUAACCCUUCUUCAAACCUGAUACACAUUUCUUCUUUAAUAAGUACAAUGUCUCGGGCAUAUUUGCUGAGGUAGACAAAUUCUCUUUCGUAUUCAGCCACUGAUUUAUCUCCCUGGCGUAGGUCGAGAAAUUCCCUUUUAUUUUUAUCCAAAUACCGUCUGCCCACAUAUUUCUUCUUAAAUUCAUUUUGGAAAAAUUCCCAAUAAAUUUUCUCUGUCGGAACCACAUCCUCAAUCGUCUCCCACCAACUAUAAGCUUCUUCUUUCAAUAGAGACACAACACAACUCAAAUAAUCAUCUAGUGAGCAAACCAUUUCUUUAAAAAUUCUUAUUAAACUCUGUAACCAAUAUUCAGCUUUGACGGGAUCUUUAUCAGUCCUUCCCCGAAAUUCUUCGGCUCCAAGUUUUUUAAGCCUUUCCAAUGGAGAACGCUUUCUGGAUUCAGUCGUUGUAAAAGGUGGAGGAGCAACCGGGUGUGCCACCGAUGGAGCAGUAGGGGGAGGAGGUGGUUCAGCCUGAUUUCUUUCUUGCCUCAUUUCAGUAUAUCAUUGAUUCAUAAUCCCAUAAAUCAUAUUCUUUAACUCUUGCUCUCGCAUUUGGGAGAUCGGAACAUCACUGCUUGUUCUUUGUUUAGAAUUAUGUAUUCUACUAUUAACUUCUUCUUUCUCAGUACGUUUAGGUAUAUCUGACAUCUCCAUAACCGGAGAAUAUCUACUAUUAACUUCUUCUUACUGGAUUCAGUCGUUGUAAGAGGUGGAGAAGCAACCGGGGGUACCACCGAUGGAGCAGUAGGCAGAGGAGGUGGUUCAGCCUGAUUUCUUUCUUGCCUCAUUUCAGUAUACCACUGAUUCAUAAUCCCAUAAAUCAUAUUCUUUAACUCUUGCUCCCGUAUUUGGGAGAUCAGAACACCACUGCUUGUUCUUUGUUCAGAAUUAUGUAUUCUACUAUUAACUUCUUCUUGCUCAGUACGUUCAGGUAUAUCUGACAUCUCUAUAACCGGAGAAUAUCUAUAAAAAUAACAAAGAUUAGAUCGCAUCAUACGCAUUACACUAUCACAGAUUUAUAUGGCAUGUAUUUCUAAACACUUUACACUUUACACAUAUUCCGAGAACCGGCUAAACCUGGAUCUGAUACCAAUAAAAUGUAACACCCUUUACCUGAGACCGUUUCCAGAGUCGAGCAUGAGGCGUUACUUGACUUAACUUAAAAGUUCAGGGCAUAAAAAAUUACUUUCAAAAUUAAUUUCACCAUUCACAAUAAAGCUGUCCACCCACGCAGCAAUCUCUAAAUUAAUUAUAACUCAAGAUGCGAAACUCGAAAUUUAGAUCUGUAUAUUUUACCUAAAACUAGACUCAUAUAUCUAUUCACUACAAAAUUUUCAGACUUUUUGGUUUGGCAAAUUAGUACAGUUUAUUAAUUGAAGUCUCCCCUGUUUCACUAAUAGACUAUCCUGACCUCUCGUCACUAAAAUUCAAUUAUCUCAUUAUACAAACUUGACUUGGUGCUUUCAAUUAUUUUUACUUAAAAUAGACUCAUUAAGGAAUUUAAACAUAUAAUUUAUAACUCAUAAUUCAUUUUGUACAAUUUUUAAUGAAUUUCUAAAGUCAAAAUAGGGGACUUCAAAAUCAUUCUGACUCUGUCUCACUAAAAUUCAAAUAUCUAAAAGUAUAUAACUCUUUUGCUUACUCUAUUGCUUUAAUGUGAAAGUAGGCUCAUUCAGCUUUAAUUUCAUCUCUCACUCAACUUAUAAUUCUAAGUCCACAUUUUUGGUGAUUUUUCAAAGUUACAUCAAUACUGCUGUCCAAAAACUGUUCCAUUGAAAUUUUUUUAAAAAAUUUCAAUAUAACCCUUUUAUAAUUAUCUAACCUUCCCUGCAAAUUUUAAAUCACAACCAAUUUCAGUAUUUCAACCACUUCACUUAAAUACUAAUGAAGUUCAACCAAUCAACCAUUUCAAACUAAAAACAUGCAUAGUUCAAUGUCUAACACAACCAUCACAUUCAAAUUUACUUUGCAUAUUUAGAUAUUCAUUCUUUUACUUUUUACUUCAAUUCCCUAUACAUGUCAUAUAAAUCCAAAAAGUUGUUUAACAAAAUCUACCGGAGUAAAUCUUGAUAGUGUGAUUCUUGGUGUAGAUCCGAUCCUCUGAAUGUAUAAAUACGUCAAUCUACAAGAAUCAAUAAACGCACAAGUAGGCUUAAUAAACACACAAGUAAGCUUAUAGAAAGCUUAGUAAGUUCAUAGGCACCAAACAUAAAACUUACCAAACAUUUAUACACUUAUACAUUAUACACCAUUACUAAGUUUACCUGUCAACCACAUUCUUUGGUGAGUUCCUUGGUAUAAACUCACUAAUACUUAUUCUUUUACCAUAAUUCCUUUGGGCCCAUUUGUCACUUACCAUCCUUGAUCAAAAUUAAGGAACGGUUACGGAAAAUUGAGUACUUCACUUUCACUUUGCCAUAGUAUAAAUAUGGUCUUACGUAUGAUCACUUAUCACUUGUCCUUGAUCAGGUUAGUGUAGCUAGGCUACCACUUAUCACUUGUUCCUGAUCAGAUAAGUGUAGCUAAGCUAUCACUUGUCACUUUGUCACUUGAUCAAAAGUACUCAAAUCCGGUGUUCCGCUCAAUUUGAUCACUUAUUCAGUUUGCGCAUUUUUAUUUUAUUCUCAUUUCAUCAAUAAAUAUAUAUAUAUAUUUCACCAUACAUUAUAUAAUUCAUGAAAUUAACAUUUAAUCAUUAAAUUUCAUCCAUAUGAACUUACCUAGGUCGAUUUUCUGAAUUUGUAAAAGUUCAAGGACUAAUCAGCUACUUUUUCUUUUCCUCGACUUGUUUCGGGUUCUCGAUAUGAUUCAAAUAUAUGAAAAACUAGCUUGGAGGGACUCUUCAAUGGCGUUUUUUGCUGAGAAAUAUGAUGAAUUGCCUAGAAACUCUUUUAGUUAAGAUUUUUAUUUGUUAACUUUUACAAAAUUUCUAAUUUUGCCCUUAUUACAUCACUUUUUCAGAUUUUUCUUCUCUUAUGCCGUCUCAACUAUUCCAUAUUAGCAUAUUUAUGCCUUAAGUCCCUCCUUAUUUACCACUUAAGCUGUUUAAUCACUUUUAACAAAUUUUACAUUAUUUUCAGUUUAGUCAUUUUUAAUUAAUUAACCACCAAAACGUUAGAAUUUUCUAACGAAACUUUAAUACCAACUCAAUGACACUCUAUAAAUGUUUCUAAAAAUAUUUAUGGCUCGAUUGAUGAGUUUGAGGUUUCGAUACCUCAUUUUCGACUCUAAUUAUUUUAAUAUUUAUUCUUAGUACACUAUUCACUAUUUCAAAAAUUUUCCUAACUUCGCAUUUAACUUAUACUCACUAAAUUAAUAAUAUUUUCUACUCAUUUGUCAAAUUUAAUGAUCUCGAAUUACCAUUCCGACACCACUGAAAAUUCAGGCCAUUACAACUCUCCCCCCAUUUUGGAAAUUUCGUCCCCGAAAUUUCGUACCUGAAAAUAAAUUCGAAUACUGAAAUCUCAUCAAUUCCUCUGUUUCCCAGGUUGCCUCCUCAGAUCCAUGUCGAUUCCAUAACACCUUAACUAGUGGUACAUGUUUAUUCCUCAACUCUUUAACAUCCCAAGCUAAAAUUUUCACCGGUUCCUCUGAAUAAGUCAUGUCAGGUUGAAGCUCUAUUUCCGUAUGAGGAAUUACAUGUGAUGGAUCUGAUUUGUACCGUCUCAACAUAGACACAUGAAACACAUUAUGAAUCUUUGCAAGUUCCGGGGGCAAAGCUAAUCUAUAGGUUACCAGACCGAUUCUUUCAAUGAUUUCAUACGGCCCGAUAAAUCGUGGGCUGAGUUUUCCCUUUUUGCUGAACCGCAAAACUUUCUUCCACGGUGACAGUUUCAAAAAUACACGAUCACCCACAUUAAACUCUCUAUCCCUUCUCUUCAAAUCUGCAUAUGAUUUUUGCUGAUCGGAGGCAGCUUUUAAGCAAUCUCGAAUAAUACGAACUUUUUCUUCAGUUUCCUGAGUCAAUUCCACUUCCACCAGUUUCAAUUCACUUAAUUUAGACCAAUAUAAUGAAGUUCUACACUUUCUUCCAUACAAAGCUUCAAACGGUGCCAUUUUAAUGCUAGUUUGAUAACUAUUAUUAUAAGCAAAUUCGGCUAAAGGUAAAUACCUUUCCCAGCUACCGCCGAACUCAAGUAUACAACACCUUAACAUAUCUUCUAAAAUCUGAAUCACUCGCUCUGACUGCCCAUCUGUCUGGGGAUGAAAAGCUGUGUUGAAAUUUAAUUUGGUGCCUAAAGCUUCCUGUAAUUUACUCUAAAAUCUCGAGGUAAAUCUCGGAUCUCGAUCUGAAAUAAUAGAUGUCGGUACCCCAUGUAACCUCACUAUCUCAGACACAUAUAACUCCGCUAACUUUUCAAGCUGAUAAUCUGCUCUGACUGGAAUAAAAUGUGCUGAUUUAGUUAACCGAUCAACAAUCACCCAUAUCGAAUCUUUCUUCUUCGAAGUUACUGGUAAUCCGGAUACAAAAUCCAUCGCAACAUGUUCCUAUUUCCACUCUGGAAUCAUAAUGGGCUGUAACAACCCUGUCGGCACUUGAUGCUCAGCUUUCACCUGUUGGCAGAUCAAACAUCUUGCUACAUACUCACAGAUUUCCCAUUUAAUUCCGGGCCACCAAUACAUUUUCUUCAAAUCACAAUACAUUUUUGUACUAACCCGGUGAAUAGAACACAUACUACUGUGAGCCUCUGAUAAAAUAUCAUUUUUCAAGUUUAAAUUAUUCGGAAUACAUAUUCUAUUACGAUAAUAUAACAUACCAUUUUCAUCAAUGGAGUAUUCUGAGCUUAACUUAUCUUGAACCAUCUGUCGUUUUAUCAUCAAUUUUGGGUCAUCAUCCUGUAACUCUUGAAUCCAUUGAAAGAACACGGGUUUAGCCUUUAAUUCUGCUAGUACAGAACCAUCCUCAUUAAUAGAUAAAUGAGCAUUCAAUGCCCGUAGUGCAAAUAAUGAUGAUUUCUGACUAAGUGCAUCUGCUGCGGCAUUUGCUUUCCCUGGGUGAUAGUCAAUGACAAGAUAAUAAUCUUUCUGCAACUCUAACCAUCGUCUCUAUCUCAAAUUUAACUCUUUCUGAGUCAUUAAAUACUUUAAGCUUUUAUGAUCAGUAUACACGUAACAUUUCUCACCAUAUAAGUAGUGUCUCCUUAUCUUCAAAGCAAACACGAUCGCUGCCAAUUCAAAAUCAUGUGUAGGAUAAUUCUUGUCGUGCGGUUUCAGUUGCCGAGAAGCAUAUGCCACCACUUUGCCUGACUGAAUAAGUACACAGCCCAACCCAUUUACAGAUGCAUCACUAUAUACUACAAAUGGUACACCCGAUUCUGGUUGAGUCAACAUUGGAGCCUCUGUCAACAUCUUUUUCAACUGAUCAAAACUCCGCUGACAUUUAUCUGACCAUAUAAAUUCAACAUUCUUUUGUAGAAAUCGAGUCAACUGUAAGGUAAUCAUUGAGAAAUCUUUGAUAAAUCGACAAUAAUAACAUGCCAAUCGUAGAAAACUCCACACUUCAAUAACAUUCUUCGGAACUUUCCAAUUUACCAUUGCCGCUACCUUACUUGGAUCGACUCUUAUUCCAUCAGCUGAUACAAUAUGACCCAAAAAUGCAACUUCAUGGAGCCAAAAUUCUCAUUUGCUAAAUUUGGCAUACAAUUGUUUCUCUCACAAAGUCUGUAAUACAAUCCUUAGAUGUUGUGCAUGUUCGGACUCUGUCUUUGAAUAAAUCAAUAUAUCGUCAAUGAACAACCACAAAUCUAUCCAAUUAUGACUGAAAAAUUCUAUUCAUCAAAUCCAUAAAAGCAGCAAGGGCAUUGGUUAAACCAAAUGGCAUCACCAAAAAUUCAUAAUGACCAUAUCGAGUUUGGAAGGCAGUUUUCGGCACAUCACACUCUUUAACUUUCAACUGAUAAUACCCAGAUUGAAGAUCUAUCUUGGAAAAUAUUGCAGCACCUUUCAACUGAUCAAAUAAAUCAUCAAUAUGAGGCAAAGGAUAUUUAUUCUUUACUGUUACCUUAUUCAACUGCCUGUAAUCUAUACACAGUCUUAGAGAACCGUCCUUUUUUUUCACAAACAAGACAGGUGCACCCCAGGGCGACAUACUCAGUCUGAUGAACCAUUUCUCUAAUAACUCCUGUAACUGCGCCUUCAACUCUUUUAACUCGGCUGGAGCCAUUCUGUACGGUGUCAUUGAGAUAGGAGUUGUUCCGGCGAUCACAUCAAUUACAAAUUCAACUUCUUUAUCAGGUGGUAGACCGGGUAACUCUUCAGGGAACACAUUAGGGAAUUCAUUCACUACUGGCACUUGUUUGAGCUUCAAACCAGAACCCUGAGUAUCCAUGAUAUAGGCCAAGAAUGCUUCGUUGCCUUUGCGUAAUAACCUCUGAGCAGGGAGAGCUGAAAUAAUUCUGACUGUAUCACCCAUAUUUUCAGACCCAACUGAGAUUAUAUCUCCCGUUUGACAUUUCAAAUUGAUCUGUUUAUCACGACAAUUCACUACCGCAUCAUGUCUCACUAACCAGACCAUCCCAAGAAUAAUGUCAAAUUCUCGAAAAGGUAACAACAUCAAAUCAGCGGGGAAUUCAUAGCCUUUCACUUUUAAUGGACAAUUACGACAUAUCAAAUUAACCAUCACACUUUGACCUAAUGGGUUUGUGACUUGUAUAUCAAAUUCAAUGGACUUAACAAAUAAUUUCUUUUCAGAUGCUAACAUAGUGCAAAUAUAUGAAUGAGUAGAUCUAGGGUCUAUCAAUGCAUAAACAAUAACAUCAUAAAGAUAGAAAGUACCAACAAUUACAUCAGGAGCCGUAGCCUCUUCCCUUGCUCGAAUGGCGUAGGUACGUGCUGGUGCUCUAUUCUUUGAUCGACCAACUGAUUCCCUCGUACCCGAACGGGUAGUCCCUGUAGCACUGCUCUGGCCCGAAUGUCUACUUCUUUGGGGAAUGGUUCUCUGUAUCUCUUUCUGUUCCACUUCAUCUUUUUACAGUCGGGGACAAUCUCGAAUAAGAUGAUUAGUAGCCCUACAUUUUUAACAAGCCCCCAUCUUGGUCCUGCAUUCUCCGAAAUGAUAUCUUCCACAAUAUUGACACUUAGGCCGGGGAGCAUUCUGAACACCGCUCACACUUGCUGCAGGUCUAUCGAAUACCCUGAAAUCAGAUUGUCUUGGUCUAUCUCUACCCGAUCUUCCCAACAUUAAUGUAGUUCGACUAAUUUCUUCUCUAGAUUUCUUCACUGGCAAAUCUAAAAAUGACUUAGAAGCACCUCUUUUGAAUGGCUCUUUACUUUUUCGAUCCCGCUGCAUUUUUCUGUUGUAUACUUCUUCGAGCUUUUGAGCACGGUCUGACAGAACAACGAACUCUCGUAUUUCAUUACCCCCAAUCAUCAUUCUAAUUUCAUCAUUUAACCCUUCUUCAAACCUGAUACACAUUUCUUCUUUAGUAGGUACAAUGUCUCGGGCAUAUUUGCUGAGGUAAACAAAUUCUCUUUCGUAUUCAGCCACUGAUUUAUUUCCCUGGCGUAGGUCGAGAAAUUCCCUUUUAUUUUUAUCCAAAUACCGUCUGCCCACAUAUUUCUUCUUAAAUUCAUUUUGGAAAAAUUCCCAAUAAAUUUUCUCUGCUGGAACCACAGCCUCAAUCGUCUCCCACCAACUAUAAGCUUCUUCUUUCAAUAGGGACACAGCACAUCUCAAAUAAUCAUCUGGUGAGCAAACCAUUUCUUUAAAAAUUCUUAUCAAACUUUGUAACCAAUAUUCAGCUUUGACGGGAUCUUCAUUAGUCCUUCCUGAAAUUCUUCGGCUCCAAGUUUUUUAAGCUUUUCCAAUAGAGAACGCUUACUAGAUUCAGUCGUUGUAGGAGGUGGAGGAGUAACCGGGGGUACCAUCGAUGGAGCAGUAGGGGGAGGAGGUGGUUCAGCAUGAUUUCUUUCUUGCCUCAUUUCAAUAUACCACUGAUUCAUAAUCUCAUAAAUCAUAUUCUUUAAUUCUUGCUCUCGCAUUUGGGAGAUCGGAACAUCACUGCUUGUUCUUUGUUCAGAAUUAUGUAUUCUACUAUUAACUUAUUCUUACUUAGUUCGUUCAGGUAUAUCUGACAUCUUUAUAACUGGAGAAUAUCUAUAAAAAUAACAAAGAUUAGAUCGGAUCAUACGCAUCACACUAUCACAGAUUUAUAUGGCAUGUAUUUCUAAACACUUUACACUUCACACAUAUUCCGAGAACCGGCUAAACCGGGAUCUGAUACCAAUAAAAUAUAACACCCUUUACCCAAGACCGUUGCCCGAGUCGAGCAUGAGGCGUUACUUGACUUAACUUAAAAGUUCAGGGCAUAAAAAUUUACUUUCAAAAUUAAUUUCACCAUUCACAAUAAAGCUGUCCACCUGCGCAGGAGUCACUAAAUCAAUUAUAACUCAAGCUACGAAACUCAAAAUUUAGAUCCGUAAAUUUUCCCUAAAACUAGACUCAUAUAAAUAUUCACCAUAAAUUUUUAAGAAUUUUUAGUUUAUCCAAUUAGUAUAGUUUAUUAGUUUAAGUCUCCCUUGUUUCACUAAUAGACUACCCUGACCUCUCGUCACUAAAAUUCAAUUAUCUCCUUAUACAGACUUGACAUGGUGCUUCCAAUUAUUUUUACUUAAAAUAUACUCAUUAAGGAAUUUAAAAAUAUAAUUUAUAACUCAUAAUUACUUUUUUACAAUUUUUAUUGAAUUUCUAAAUUCAGAACAGGGGACUUCAAAAUCAUUCUGACCCUGUCUCACUAAAAUUCAAAUAUCUAAAAGUAUAUAACUCUUUUGCUUACUCUAUUGCUUUCAUGUGAAAGUAUACUCAUUCAGAUUUAAUUUCAUAUCUCACUUAACUUAUAAUUCUAUUUCCACUAUUUUUGGUGAUUUUUCACAGUUACAUCAAUGCUGCUGUCCAAAAACUGUUCCAUUGAAAUUUUUAAAAAAAAUUCAAUAUAACCCCUUUAUAAUUAUCUAACCUUCCCUGCAAAUUUCAAAUCACAACCAAUUUCAGUAUUUCACCUACUUCACUUAAAUACUAAUGAAGUUCAACCAAUCAACCAUUUCAAACUAAAAACAUGUAUAGUUCAAUGUCUAACACAACCAUCAUAUUCAAAUUUACUUUGCAUACUUAGUCAUUCAUUCUAUUACUUUUUACUUCAAUUCCCUAUACAUGCCAUAUAAAUCCAAAAAGUUGUUUAACAAAAUCUACCAGAGUAAAUCUAGAUAGUGUGAUUCUUGGUGUAGAUCCGAUCCUCCGAAUGUAUAAAUACGUCAAUCUACAAGAAUCAAUAAACACAUAAUUAAGCUUAUAGAAAGCUUAGUAAGUUCAUAGGCACCAAACAUAAAUCUUACCAAACAUUUAUACACUUAUACAUUAUACACCAUUACUAAGUUUACCUGUCAACCACAAUCUUUGGUGAGUUCCUUGUUAUAAACUCACUACUACUUAUUCUUUUACCAUAAUUCCUUUGGGCCCAUUUGUCACUUACCAUCCUUGAUCAAAAUUAAGGAACGGUUACGGAAAAUUGAGUACUUCACUUUCACUUUGCCAUAGUAUAACUAUGGUCUUACAUAUGAUCACUUAUCACUUGUCCUUGAUAAGAUAAGUGUAGCUAGGCUACCACUUAUCACUUUGUCACUUGAUCAGAUAAUUGUAGCUAAAGCUACCACUUAUCACUUUAUCACCACUUAUCACUUGUUCCUGAUCAGAUAAGUGUAGCUAAAACUACCACUUAUCACUUUGUCACCACUUAUCACUUGUUCCUGAUCAGAUAAGUGUAGCUAAAGCUACCACUUAUCACUUUGUCACUUGAUCAGAUAAGUGUAGCUAAGCUAUCACUUAUCACUUUGUCACUUGAUCAGAAGUACUCAAAUUCGGUGUUCCGCUCAAUUUGAUCAUUUAUUCAGUUUUCACAUUUUUAUUUUAUUCUCAUUUCAUCAAUAAAUAUAUAUAUUUCAGCAUACAUUAUAUAAUUCAUGAAAUUAACAUUUAAUCAUUAAAUUUCAGCCAUAUGAACUUACCUGGGUCGAUUUAUUGAAUUUGUAAAAGUUCAGGGACUAAUCAGCUACUUUUUCUUUUCCUCGACUUGUUUCGGGUUCUCAAUAUGAUUCAAAUAUAUGAAAAACCAGCUUGGAUGGACUCUUCAAUGGCGUUUUUUGCUGAGAAAUAUGAUGAAUUGCCUAGAAACUCUUUUAGUUAAGAUUUUUAUUUGUUAACUUUUACAAAAUUUCCAAUUUUGCCCUUAUUACAUCACUUUUUCAGAUUUUUCUUCUCUUAUGCCGUCUCAACUAUUCCAUAUUAGCAUAUUUAUGCCUUAAGUCCCUCCUUAUUUGCCACUUAAGCUGUUUAAUCACUUUUAACAAAUUUUACAUUAUUUUCAGUUUAGUCCUUUUUAAUUAAUUAACCACCCAAACGUUAGAAUUUUCUAACGAAACUUUAAUAUCAAUUCAAUGACACUCUAUAAAUGUUUCUAAAAAUAUUUAUGGCUCGAUUGAUGAGUUUGAGGUUUCGAUACCUCAUUUUUUAUUCUAAUUAUUUUAAUAUUUAUUCUUAGUAUACUAUUCACUAUUUUAAAAAUUUUCCUAACUUCGCAUUUAACUUAUACUCACUAAAUUAAUAAUAUUUUCUACUCAUUUGUCAGAUUUAGUGAUCUAGAAUUACCAUUCCGACACCACCGAAAAUUCAGGCCAUUACAUUAUGUUUAUUGACUCAUUUUUUCUGUUGACUGAAUUUCAGGUAACUCAUCGACUUAGGCGGGUCGGCAUGGCGAGAGCUCGGUCAUCCUUAUUUAGUAAUUUUCUGUUUAAAUUAAACUUAUGCUAUAGUUGUUUUAUCUUGAAUUACAGAUUGCAAAUUUAUAUUUCUACACUAGUUCAACUAUUUAAACAUUUUCUGACAAUUAAACUUUAAUUAGUUAAAAGUGAGAAUUUCUUAAAUGAUUUGUUGUAGCUUUCCAAGCUUGGUCCUAACAUCUAGGUCGGGUUUGGGGUGUUACAACCCAAAACCCCCAAACUUUCCCCUCAAAACUUUUACUCCCCCACCCUUUCUCUUUCUCGCUCACCCUCCCAAACCCUUUUACUUUUCCCCCAAAACUUUUACUUCCCACUUUUACCCCCAAAUCAAAAAUCAAAAUCCUCCCAAAAAAAUCCUUAAACCUAAAUAGUAAUAAUUUUAUUUAUGGCCACUAUUUAUAUUAUAAAUUAAAUUUCACAUUUUCUAUUAUUUAUAUUAUUAAAUUGUUUAAUCAUUUUGAAUCUUUAUCAAUUUCUGUUAAAACUGUAUCAUUGAUGAUGUCAUACAUUAUUUGUGUUAAAAAUUUCUAUUGGUAUCAAUUUCACAUUUUAUCUUUAAAAUAAAUUUUAUUAAAAAAAUUACUUUUUUACAUUUAAUAUAUUUUUUAAUUUCAAAAUAUAUGGUGACAAGAAUUAGAAGAUAAUUGAAGCAACUAAGCAAGUAAAAAAGCUAACAUGUAUAUAAAAGAUUAAAUAAAUUAUGAAGGGAUGAAAGUUAAUAACACAUUUGAUUACGGUGGACAAAUUUGAUAAUGAUGGGUGACAGUGGCUACAAGGAUCCAAAGUAAUUUUUUCAAUUAACUGGAAACAAAUAUAUUCGAUUCGAUUCGAUAAAAUUUGAAAUCAUUUUAGGAUGAUAAAAUAAGAUUCGUCAACUCGAUUAACUCGAAGUUUUUUCAUUUGAUUCGAUUAGACGCUCACCCCUACAAAGUAUGACCGAUUGGUCUGAUUCUGAAAAAAAUUGGUUUUGAUCAAUGAAAGAACUUUUACGAUGGCGACAGGUCUAACAAACAGGUGAUAUUUUGAAAAGAAAAUUAAUCUCCAUAGUCUCAACCUUAGGAGGGUGAAUUUUGAGCAUUGCAUUUGUUGUCAUUGUUAGACAUUAUAAAGGAAGAAAAAAGAAAGAAAAAAGUUAAAAUGAGGGAAAUUAUUGAAAAAAAGAGAGAAGAGAAUAAUUAAUUUUUUUUAAAAUUUUACAUGUCAAUCUAUUAUUGAUUAGAUUUUUUUAAUGAGUGUAACAUUUUGGUGUUAAAUGGAUAAUAAAAAAAUAUUUUAAGUAUCAUUUAUGAUAAAAAUAUUUAGGUAUCAAUUUGAAAAAAAUAUGUAGCUUAGAUACUAAUUGAUGGGUUAAUUUUUUUAGCUUAAUAAUUUGAUUAAACCGAAAUACCAACUGAAAAAAAGUUUACUCGCCGCUUAUGAAAAAAAAUAAGUAUGAAUUUGUAAGUUAAAUCUCCCUAAAAGAAAAAAUAUAUCACAUUCAAUACGGGGUGAAUGAAGCAAUGAAUGCAAUGGGGUAUUACAACCAGCCACAUGUCAUUCAAUUCAUGUUAUAUCUACCUUGUUGGCCCCACAGGCGGUCUUUUCCAUUAUUUUCGAAGUGAACGACAUGAGUCGGACCUAUAUCGGCCCCAACAAACAACCUCAACCACUUGUUUUGUUAGGUUGUUGACUAAUUUGAAUAUGUCGGCUCAAAGCUUUUUGAAAAUUAAAUUAUUUUUUAUAUUAAUAUCAUAUAGGUAUAAAAAUUUAACGUUUUGUAAAAAAAAUAAAUUUAGUGUUAAAUUUAAAUAAUUAUAAAAAAUUAUACAAAAUACAAAGACAACUUAGAGUCAAUAAAAAAAAUAUGGAAAAUCAAUUCAUACAUGAAAUGGCAUAAAAAUAUUAUGAACACUAUACAAAUAUAUGAAUGUUUUUAUAUCUAUAUAAAAUAAGUUAUUAACGCUUAAAUUUCAACCAAUUAAAUAUUAAUUUAACUAUAAACUAUAAAAAAUUAAAAUUUCAUUUACCCUAAACAAUUAUUCUAAUUUCGCCCCUGUAUAAAAUAGUUGUAAUAUUAAAAAAAAAGUUAUACGAAUAUGGAGUGUUAAAAAAAAAGGCUUUCAACUUUUAAUAUUCCAAACAAAUAAAAGAAAUAAUAAUAACAGUUUACAAGUGCAAUAAAAGUAAUACAUAUUUGAUGAAUUAAAAAUAGAAUAAAUAUAACUAACUAUAACAGAAAUAUAUUUAGAUUUAAACCAAAUUUUUUUGAAGAUGAAAUUUGAACUCACAAAUAAUAUUUAUAAAUGAUGAUAUGUUUUAGAACAUGUAUAUUUUAAUUUCAUUUGAUAUUUAAAUUAAAUGAAUGAAAUGAGUAUAUUAGCAUAAAUAUAUUGAAUUUCUAGAUUUAUUAAAAAUCCAACUAAAUAGAGUAGAUCCAUAAAUUUAAAAAAUGAUUAUGGAUUUUGAAAUAUAAAUCUAAAAUUUAAAAUCUGAAACCCUCCUAAAUGUUUUCCAAAGUAAGGCGGGGAUAAAUGGUAUAGGGAAGACGGUGGGUAGAUAGAUGUACGGUUUAUUUAUAACUUCGUUUUUAUUAGUCGGCUUACAGUUUCAUAAAAAGCAUCCGUGCAAGGCAUGUUCAAAUGCUGCACUAGCAUACCACUACUAUAAAAAAAACACAUACAAGAGCACCACAAAUUUAUCCCAAAAUACAUUAAAUAAAUGACUCCUAAGGGUGCCAGAUUUAACUAGUGUGUCUGGGAUUGUAUUAGCCUCUCUGAGGCCAUGUGAAAAAAUUUAAUGUUAUUGUUAUAUUUCCAUCUCGAUACGUUGCAAGACAUGAAGCAAUCUGUAAACAACUCUCUUUUGGAAGCAGUUUGCAUACGACUCUUCGCUAAGAACCAUUUGUUGUGAUCUUUCGCUUAGGAUUGCUCACAAAUGACCCCCAUGCACCCUAUCUCUCUCCCUCCUUAACUCAUCAUCUUGAACUCUCAUCCUAUUAUAGGUGAAUCGAGACUCUUCUCCUCCACCCUUUCCUCGUUGGUUACUUGUAGCAAAAAAAAUUAAUUUCACCGAAAAUGUUGGAGAGAUCCCAUGGUCUAAGUGUGUUGUUAGAGCAAAGCUCGAUGGCAAAUUUGGAGUCAAAUUUUAGAAUCAACCCUUUAAAAUCCAUUACACCGUAAAGGAAAAUUUUUACAAUUACAUUAACAAUAAAUAUUCAAAAUUUACUCAUCUAUCUAUACUUAUAUUAAGCCUUAUUUGAGUUGGAGUCAAGAGUCAACUAGGUACUAACUCAGUUGAGAAUUUACUAAAUAAUUUUAAUAUAAAGUAAAAAAAAUAUUAAUACGAGGGUGUUUUUAUCUUUUCAUAUUUUUAAAUAAAAAUACUAUAAUAAGAUUUAAACUUAAGUUUAAAAUUUCAAUCAAAACAUCACUUAAAUUUAAAAUAACAUUUUUAUAUAAAAUGUGUUUAGAUUCUAAGAUAAUGAAAUUUAUGAUGAGGUAUUCAAAAUGUGUUUGAAUAUGCUAAUGAGAUAUUCAAAUUGGUAUGCACAUUCCUAAUCAGGGAGCAUUAAUGAUAAUUUAGUAAAAUAAAUUAUCUCAUUAGCAUAUAGUUUAUUAUAAAAUUAUUGUGUAAAAUAAACAAUUCACAAACUUAAGAAUUUAUAACACAAAAAUUAUACAUCAAUGUUGUUAGAAUUGUAUUAUAUCCAUCGGUUGAAUUUAAAUUUAAAAAUUUAAUCAGCGAUAAUAAUUAAAAUCGUUUCAAACUAGUAAAAUAUUGAAAAUUAAGAACUAAUAAAAUAGAUUCUAAUUAUUUUUAUUUAAAAAAUGUUACCUUCUUAUUCAGGUUACAUUAAGACAAACCCAUCUUAAUUAUAAGUAUCAUAUUGUGAAUGGUAAACUUCUUACACAACAUCCACCAUUUGUCCAAAUAUGUUAAAUUAGGUGCAACAUAGAAAUUUUAUUGUAAGGAGUGAAUCUCAUUGUUUUUAUUUUCAUCAAACAUACGUCUAACUUUAUUAUUACGGGAUUAGAACUUAAAUUUGAUAAAUUGUGUGGUUUUAGGUGAUUUCUUUUCGUUAAAUUUAUCUAAAUCAACCUAACACUCGAAAAGUGAGAAUUCUCCUAAAAAUUCUUUAUGUUAGCAAAAAAUAUAGUGGAAGUAACUUGAAACGAAAGAGCAAUGAGAGAAUUGAAAAGACACAAGAAAAUAAUGCAUACAAGGUGUUUGAGUAAAUGCUCUCAAUAAAUUCUUUAACUCAAGAAGGAAUGAAGUACAACCAGUAUCUAGCCCCCCUAAAAUAGAAAAUUUUCCAUUUAUAUACCUUUAUAAUUUAUAAAAUUUAAAAUUUUACUUUCCCAUAAAAUGAUAAAAAAUUGAUUUAUUUCUUUAAAAAUUAUAAAGAUGACUAUUAAAAUAGUAAAAUUGUAUUUUUAUUAUUGUAAAAAUAUACAAUUUAAUUCUGUCUCCCAAAUUUUUUUUUUUUGGUUUCAUCCCUAAGUACAAUGAUCGUUGUAGCAGGAUACAUAGGCAUUCUAGCACAGAAUGCAAAUAUGUUGCCAAUUAACUUCGAGUCAUGGCAUAAAGUGCCCGAGAGUAACAAGAACCAAGCUCUCGAUAACAUUAAGGUAACAAAAUGUGUAUAUCAUUUAUAAUACUUGAGUUUAAGUUUCGUUUACAUUUACUUUCUGAAGUUGUGUUUUUUGUAGGGGAGAUUUGCUCUAGAGGUCUCCGAUGCUUAUGUAAAGAAGGCAUUGGGAAAAAGAUGGAGAGACCAUAAGAGCACUUUAAAGAAAGACUAUUUUAAGACAAAAACAACACUCGACGAGAGAUUACAAAAUGUCACGCCGGGAAUGCUGAGGUACCAGUGGGAAGAAGUCGUUAGAUUUUGGACUUCGAAGAAAGGAGAGGUAUGUGUUACUACAAAAAUCUUGUAAUUAUUUUGGUUUAUAGUAUUUACUAAUUAACGUACUAAUAAUUUCAUAACGUAGGAUCGUGAACGAGUUGGAACAAGUAGUAGGCAGAAACAAAAAUUCACGCACACAGCUGGGUCGAGAAGUUUUGCGUGUGUAGCUCAGGCCGAGGUAUUUUGAAUUUUUUAAUACUGGCAGAUAUUUAUUACUUUCUAUCAAAUAAUAUUUUUACUAUUGUAUUGUAGGAAGUGUUGUCGGGUCAAAAAGUUGGACGCCUUCAACUUUUUGACAUUACACAUAGGAAGAAAGAUGGAAACCCUAUGACUCCUGAAGCUGCAGAAAUUAUGGUACGUUUGCUUAAUACAAUUUGACUUGUUUUAAUUAUUUAUGCUGUUUAUUUUCUAAUGUUUUUUAUUACAUUUCUUGUAAUGCAAAUAUUGUUAAGUUAUGUUGCAUUUGUUUUGUUAAUAUAUGUUGCGUUCUUAACUAUGUGAUUUAUUUUUUAGGAAAAACUGAAGGAUAAAAAGGCGGAGUACGAAGCGAUUGCUUCCAGUGAUAGUUCUGUUCAUAUUGACGACAUUGAUAACCGGAUUAUCACUGAAGUUUUGGGUCCUGAAAGGUAUGGUCGGGUUCGAUUUCAAGGAUCUUUUGUUAACCCAUCCCAAUAUUUUGGAUCCAGCUCGCAACAAUACAUGCAUUCGGGGAGUCAGGCUCAAGCUGAAGUUCAGAGGUUAAGAGACCAGAUAGCUCAGAUGCAAGCGGCAACGAGUGAGCAAAUUACACAACUUAAAGCGGAGGCAACAUCGAGAGAAGCUGAGGUUCAAAAAAGAUAUGAAGAACUCCAGCUACAACUUAAAGCAGAUGCGGCAGCGAGAGAAGCAGAGGUAGCAGCGAGAGAAGCUGAGGUUCAACGAAAGUAUGAGCAACUGCAGCAGCAGCUUAAAGAAGAUGCGGCAACGAGAGAAGCAGCGGCUGCAGCGAGGGAAGUAGAGGCUGCAGUGAGGGAAUCAGAACAGCAUAAAAAGUUCGAUGAACUCCAGCAGCAGCUUCAGAAUAUGAUGAAGAUGUUUCAGCAGUCGCAACCGCCGUCAUCUUAGACUAUCGUUUAAAUAUACUUCAAUUUUGACUUUGGUAUUAUUAUUUUAACUUUUACAAUUUCUGUCAGAAUAAUACGAAUUUUAUUUUAUUUAUUGACAUUUAUUUUAAAUAUUAUAUAGAUUUGGUUAGAUUUGGUUGGUUGGAUUUGGUUUCUUCUGAUUUGUUUUUAUAGGAGGGGGCUGAAAUUUUUUUUUUCAAAUCUGCAAAAAUUAGCGGCGUUUUUUUGGAUAAGCGCCGCUAAAGACCAUCGUCUAUAGUGGAAUUUUUUGGCUAAGCGCCGCUAAAGACCAUGGUCUAUAGUGGCAUUUUUCGGCUAAGCACCGCUAAAGACCAUGGUCUAUAGUGGCGUUUUUUGUCUAAGCGCCGCUAAAGACCAUGGUGUAUAGUGGCAUUUUAUGGCUAAGCGCCGCUAAAGACCAUGGUGUAUAGUGGCGUUUUUUGGCUAAGCGCCGCUAAAGACCAUGGUCUAUAGUGGCGUUUUUUGUCUAAGCCCCGCUGAAAACCAUGGUCUAUAGUGGCGUUUUUUGGCUAAGCGUCGCUAAAGACCAUGGUCUAUAGUGGCGUUUUGUGGCUAAGCGCCGCUAAAGACCAUGAUCUAUAGUGGCAUUUUUCGGCUAAGCGCCGCUAAAGACCAUGGUCUAUAGUGGUGUUUUUUAGGCUAAGCGCCGCUAAAGACCAUGGUCUAUAGCGGCGUUGCAAAGAAAACGCCGCUAAAGACCAUGGUCUAUAGUGGCGUUUUUUAGGCUAAGCGCCGCUAAAGACCAUGGUCUAUAGCGGCGUUGCAAAGAAAAUGCUGCGAAAGGUCUUGAUCUUUAGCGGUGUUUAUUAUAAAAAGCGCCGCUAAAGUUACCGACGCUGUCAUUAGCGGCGAUCCUUGCGGCGCUUCGUAAAGCGCCGCUAAAAGUAUUUGCGGCGCUAAAAAAUGCCGCUAUAGACCUAAAAAAGCGCCGCUAAAACCCUGUUUUGGUGUAGUGUGAGAUGAUUACAAAUGAAGGGGGAGAUCUCUAUUUAUAGUUGAGCUCCCCUAGAUCCAAUAGUAUAGAUUGAAUUACAUCAACGAUUGAGAUUAGUACUUAUCUACAAGAUGAGUCUUAAGGAUUUUAAACUCUAUACAUCUUUAUCCCUUAGGAUUUACAUUAAUUACUCUGGUAACUCUAGUUUUACUGGAGAGUUUCACUGAACCACCAAAGGUUUAAGUAGAUGAGCUUCUCCAUAUGUUCCACGAGUUGGACAAGUUCAAGCGGAUCAAAUGAGCCCAAUUUAAUUAGUUAAUCUCAAUAAAACGUUCUAUGCACAAUGAUCAUGAACUUUGAUCCACAUCUCAAAAUGAUCAGAUGAAUAAUCUCUCUUAAUUAUAUUUUUAUAAAACUUGAUAUUUUCAUUUAAAAAGAAACACAAUCACAUAUAAUAAUGUCUCCAAAAGAGUCGUCCACUUCAAAGAUUUAAAGUAAUGUAAGAAUGAACCCAACAUUUUUCAAUUAAAAAUAUGUCGAUAGAUAUAGCAAGUUGUAUAACCUUUCAAUUACAAAACAGAUUUCAAUGGGGAUUGCAUCCGGUACAUGCAACUAAAGAACAGAACCGGUGCAUAAAUUGAUUUAAUUAAACUUUGGGUUGAGUAAUCAUGAUUUUCAUUAUUAUUAGACUACGUGAAUGUUGAUAUAAAAUGCUUGAGAGAAGGGUAUAGAAGAAACACAAAAUAAUGAGUGAUAUUAAUUUGUAGAUAAAGAUAAUAUUACAUAGUCGCAAAAAGCGACCUAGUACACAACGCACAACUCUAAAUUAGGAUAACUCCUCUGCUAUCCCUAUGGAUGGAUUUUAACAUCCAUAUUUAUUCUGUAGCUAUCGUUAUUUUGGCUUCCACUAGCUGGUGAACUUUCCAUGCCAAAACUUCACUUAACCCUGCAAAUGAAACAACAAAAAACACAACAUUAAAUGUUGAGCAAUUAAUAAGCAUAAGCAAUGAAACAACUCAUACGAACCUGCUGCAGUCAGUGCUAGGGCUGAUCUUGUAAGGGAUGUUGACACCGCACUUGCCUGGGAGUCCGCUUGCAAUACCAUAGUUGAUGCCAGGAAUGCCGGCGGCCGCACUUUUGAUGCAUUUGCAAGCUGCUUGCCGGUCUGGUGUUGUUUGGGCGGCGGAGUUGAGAGAUUUGAUGCCGCUGCAGCAACCUUGGGGAACGGCACCAGCACCAUUCCCUCUCAAGUAAUUAAUGCAGGGUGCGAGGGAGCCUGUGACUUGACCACAGGUUACGGUCCCUUGAGCCAGGGGUGCACCCACCACCAUGCACAACACCACCACACAUGCAAGCUUAAGGGACAUUGAGCUAGCCAUAUCGAUUAAUUACAAGAAAAACAAACUUGUAAGGAAAAUGCUUGCUUGGAGUAGUAGUAGUAUUGCUGAUUGUUGCGUGGUUAGGGCCCGAGGGUAGGAGGGUUUUUAUAGCCAAAAGUUUUGUGAAGGGAUAUGGAACGAACUGAGAAACACGUACGAAUAGAAUAUGGUUAGGCGUUGGUAGUUGUCCCAAUUCAAUGCCAAGGUUUCUUUUUUUCUUUUUCAUGUUUCAGCUUAUGGUUGAGUGUGUUUAAUGCUUUGAAAAAGGUUUGUAUCUACCACUUUCAUCUUCAUCACUAAUGCUGAAUUACUCCGUUGAUUAAUGCAUCAUAUUAGCCUUGUCCUAGUGUUACCGGUUUUCUGAUAUUAGUAGCUUUACCAAUAAAAGAUGCUAUCAAAUAUAGUUUUCAGGAUGAUAUUAAAAAUUAAGGUUUUUUAGUUACAAAUAAAAUUGUCACAUUAUCAAAUUUUAAAGAUAUGAAAUUAUUAUUAUAAACUCAUCUAUAGAGAAAUUAUUUUAUGAGCCCUUUCCACCACAUUAUUCACAGUCCAUUUUCAAUUAUUUAAUAAUAUUUCAACAAUAUUUUUCAUGUCAUUGACACAUAAUUUUAAUAAAUUUUUUACCCUGAACCUUGAGUCUAGAAUCCCAAACCCUAAAUAAAAAACUUAAAACCCCAAACUAUAACCCCAAACACUUGCAUCAUAAACUCGAACCGCGAACCUCAAACUCAUAAUCUGUAACCUUGAACCCAAACUUGUAAUCUCGAACCCUUGAACCCUUGAACCCUGAACCUAAACCUUGAACCCUGAACUCAAAGCCCAAAACCAAAACUGAACCCUGAACCUUAAAUCUCAAACCCAAACCUUAAACCUCGAGGUUUGGGUUCAAGGUUCAAGGUUCAGGGUUUGAGUUCAAGGUUCGAGGUUUAGGAUAAAAUAAUUACCAAAAUUUGUAACAGAAUAAAAGAGUUCGUUUAUAAUUUAAAAAGCAAUUAUUUUAAGUAAUUUAAUUAAAGUGAAAUUAAGUUAGAGAAAAUAUUAGAUAUAGAUGAGUGUAUAAUAAUACUUUAUUGUCUUUAAAAUUUAAUGACGUGGUACUAUUUUAUUGGUGCCUCAAACUAUACUUUUUAGAAUAAUCCUAAUACAAUUUAUUCCCAUAUUAAAUACGUAUGCUUUCUAUAUUUUUUCGAAAAAAUAAAUUUUAUUCAUAAACUUUCUAUAUAUAAAUAUAUGUUUUAUUUAAAAUUUAUAAAUACAGAAAAAUUAAAAUAUAAAUAUAUGUCAAAGUAGCUAUUAAGUGUAGAAUUAAACAAUUAUAACAUAUAAAUAGAUUAAAAAUUAGGACAAAAAAUCAAUCUAUUACAUAAAAUAUAAAUUAUGAAUGAAAACAAUCUAAAUUAUAGUCUGGCUAAUCAAACUAAAACUUACAUAUAACCAUAUGACUUUAAGGGUCUUGAAUAUGGUUACUUAAAAGCUUAUAGUUCAGCUUUUACCCACUACGUCAAGGCUUCAUUUACGUUUUUUUUAACCAUAUAUUUUUCAUAUAAUUAUAUAUAUAUAUUUUGCAUAAAAAAUCCCCAAGACGUUAAUUACUUCUAUAUAAUGUAGCGAUUAAGUCCUCAAACAAAAAUUGCUCAACAUCAAUGCAUGUAUAGAUCAAUUUUAUAUAUCAAAGACCAAUACUAUCUUUUUCUUAAAAAAAAAAAAAAACCAAUAUGUUGUGAUUGCUUAGCUAUUGUUCCUAAGUCUUCCUGAAAAAGGUUUCACAGCGAGAGGAGAAAAAAAAAAGUUGAACUUGUCUUGGUUUGCCCCAUAAUGAUUGAAGCAUAGACAAGAUUAUAAAUGUUAAUUUAGUAUACGACAUAAUAAUAUAAUAUAAUAUAUUUAAAUGUAUAUCUCCUCACCUCCUAGACGCUGUCAGUUAUUUUAUUUUUUGGGAUUCUUUUAACAAAAGGUUGAGCUUUUUAUUAGGUUUUAUUUGAUUUUUCAUUUAUUAAUAUAAUUUUUUUAUUUUUAUAUAUUUUAGUUAUUAUUAAUUUUUGUUGGAAAUUUGUACGGUCUUGUUCUAACAACAAUUACAACAAGCUUUUUGGAACAAUCAAAAGUUUUGGGUGUUGGCAUGUUUGACUUUUAAUGGCUUAUGUUUUAAUAUUAGUUAACAACAAAUGAUAAGAGAAUUUCAUGGUAAAUUAGAAUAUAAUUAUCAUCCAUUUGAUUAGUCUUGAAGAGGAAGGAGAGGAGUUUUAACUUUGGUGGACACCCAUCCUUAUCCUUGUCUUUUAGAGUGUUUGAAGCUAUUGGAGAACUUGGUUUUAAAGAUUUUAUUUGAUAAAUAUUCAAAAUAAUUAAUUUGAUAAUUUCAACUUUUAAAGGAGAGUUUAAAACUUAUCAAAAUAUUAUUUGAUAAACACUUGUAGAGGCGUAUAAAUAGGCAACAGUGUGGUGUAACUUUGUUUGUUGUUUUGGAGUGUCUUAAACUUUUAUUUUUUUGCUAUUCCAUUGGGUAACUUUAUGACACUCUCUUUUUAGGUAUUAUUUGGAGAUGUUUAGUAAUUGUAUUGUGAGGAAUUUGAGUGAGUGAUUGCAUUGAAGAAAUGCGACCUAAAUGUAUAUGUUAAACUCUUAUCUAGGACAUAAAUUCCAUGAACAAGGUACCCAUGUUAAUAACAUGUCACCACUUCGCAUCUUUAUGGUAUUGACCCUAUGUAGUUAGACCCUAUAUGACGUAAACAACACUUAUAGUGUGCACGAUAUCGUAGGCUUGAACGUUGAUUGAAUGCAACCUAUAUUUUGGUGCCUUUGUCGGAAAUGAUGUAUGCAUCGGGUUGCGGUACAAAUGCCUUCUCAGGUUAGUUAAGAAGAAAUCCCAUUCAUCAUUGGAUUCUUCAGGAGUUAUUACAAAAGCUAUUGGCAGGAUUUUUAGGUUACCAUCUUAUGCAACAACUACUAACAACCGAUGGUCGCAUAUUCUAUACAGGAAUGUGCCGUUAAUUUGGAAAAGUGGCUUACAGUACCAAAAUGUAGUUCUGCAUUGCUUAAAAGUCCAAAAGCAACGGUGGAAAACUCCUUUUCCAGGGACCAAGCAAUCGUCAUAAUACGCAGGCUCCAUUUUUAACUUGGUUACAGAACCUAGUAUGUACCACUCUAGUAUCUAACACCAUUGCCACAAUUUAUAGUAGGAUUUCUCCCACCCUCUAUUCAUUUUCUCCAAUGCCUUCUAUUUUUGCAACUAUGUCUUAUGCUAGGACAUGGUGUAAUCGGAUUCUCUACAGAUGUGUGCGAUCAAAAUUGGGACCAGAAUCGUAGGACUUGCUUUUGCCAUGGGUAAUAGAAUUUUAGAUAUCAUGUCUAAAUCUAAUUUUGGAUGAUCAUUCGAUAUGCUUGAAAAACAAGAAAUCAAGUCACUAUGUGUAAUAGAAUGUAAAAAAAGGCUAGGAUUCGAGUCGAUGUUGUUAGCCAUAUUACAUACCAGCUACAACACAUGUAUGUGGCACGAUAAAUUUCCUACGUUUAAAAUGCCAACUUCUUCGUCAUAAAUGCCAUGAUUUUCCAUAGACAUCUUGUUGCACGCAUUGUGCGCAUCGCCUUAUAUUUCUCGGAUUGAGAGCAUGUAAUAGUGAAGUUGACACCAAGUUGUAUGCUAUACUACUUGAUUGUAGCUACAAAAGCAUAUUUGGAGUCAAAUUCCAUCCCAACCUCUAAGUGGUCGAAAUUUGUUGAUGAAGUCGCAUACCUUAGUCUUCUACGGGGGAGGUCUGGGAAUUCUAAAACCACUUUCACUAGUAAGACUGAGAGUACGCAUAUGGGGUGGGGGUUUGUAUUUCGUGAAACUUAGGUCAUCCCCUCGAGCGAUGUCUAAAGCUUGACCAUUAGAUCCAUCGUCUUCUAGUUCAGUAGGAAUGGGAUCUAGUUCUAAAAUUACUACAAUUUCGCACCAUCCAGUCCAACCACCUCUCCUGGGUCAUUAUCUGAUUUAGACCCCUCUUUGACCACUUUGUUCUCUUGUCCCUCUUUGUUAUCAACCCUGGUUGUAAGUCCAGGGUUGGAUGUACCCUCUCUGGUCAAAGUUGUCAAGAGUAGAUCAUUCAUUCUUGUAAAUCCGAUGUCAAUCCCAAAAUCAAUUCUGUUUGGCCUACCCAGUAACUUGAUGGUGUACCAUAUGAGUGUUAUCGAGGUUGAACAUAGGUGUGUCAAAGUUGAAACCAAAGGCACUGAUAGAAUGUUGUGCGGCUGUGUUGUAGGCCUGGUGACCGAAUACGUCUAACUAUCCCCCGAAGUUGAAAUCGAGGGAUGAAAUCGAUGAAUGCCUCACCAUUGAUGAUGUUAAUAAUGUGUCUUUGUAUAAGCUUUGUAGAAAUGAUCUGAAUCCACAACAAAACCGUGUGGCCAGACUUUUUGCUUCUUGAUUUGGCUAGAAAUUUGGCGGACACGGUAUAAUCGAGCUUGGGCCACCUUUUUCCUCUUCAGCAAAGACUGUAUAUUCUCACUAGAGUAAUGAGUUUCGAUCACUGUCUUCAAACCGUUGUCCCCUGUGAUCUGAAAAAUGGAAUAUCUAACGGGGUUAAAUGAUGUUAGAUAUCUACAUUUCAGGCUCAAAAUUCUUCUUCAGAUCCCUACUUUAUGCCUAAACCUUGUUCAAAGCUCUUUUAACGUUAUGCUCUAGUUGAAUGUCAGAUCUUUAGAUUGGGUUGAUACAAAAAUGGGCUCAAUUUCAGCCUCACAAUUUUGACCGUUGUAAUGGACAAUAGCUCUGGCUCGUCUCCUCAUCUUGAACCAAAUAUUCUAUUCCACAUGUUUAAAAUCGAGAAAAUUGUAAAAAUAUAGUUCUCAUCACCCAAAUCCCUAAAUUUACACUUACUUUAAUGAAAUACCUUUGCUUCGACAAUAUUGUCAGUAUAAAAUUUUUGUUUUUUACUACAACAUCGAUAACUCCUAAUGCCAACAAUCUGCUUCAAACAUCUGUAUGGAAAAUCCAAGAAUUAUAUUGAGUUUUUUUAUAGAGCCUUUUCCUCGACGCACAUGAAACGAUUCUAGCAACAACACAUGUCAAGGCAUUAGUUGUUUUUGAGGUAUACACUAAAAAUUAAAAUUUGUGGGGGAGAAAACGUUCCCCGCAACGAUGUUUUUCAGCACCUAGACAUAGCAUUGAAAUUUAUCCUAGGAAUCCCGGGUUGUAGGGGCUUAGAGGUUGAAGCAAUCAAGUUGGCUUGGGUAUUGAAAGACCAUAAAGAAAAUGCCUAUUGCAGGAAGCAUUUCCACCUGACUUGGCAAUCAAAAUGCCUCCUGCAGGACGCGUUUUCCAGCCACAUCUCUGAUAUGUUAGUCGAAAACGCAUCUUGCAAGAGGCGUUUGUACUGCCAUGUUAGGUAAAAACACUUCCUGCAGGGAACAUUUUCUUUAUGGCCAUUUCAACACCCAGGCCAACUUAAUUGCUUCUGCCUCUGAGCCCUUACAACACGGGAUUCUCGGGAUAAAAAAAUUUCCCUUUUUACCCCACCCCAUCCCUUAUAUAAAUGCAUGUUCUCAUCCCCUACUCACCCAUAUCUCAGUCUCCUUUAAAUUAUUUUUUUCUUUUUCUUCCGUGUUGAAAUUUUCAAGUUUAAAGAUUUAUUUCUCUCACACUUUGAGGGGGAUGUAAUCAUAGUUUUAAGUUGUGUUUGAGUUCACAAUAAUGUCGUGGCGCUUGAUAACUUACAAAUUUCACUUGUCGUGUGAGUAUGGAGCCAUCACUUGAGAAAUCGAGAUCGCUUUGCAACUCGAGGUCCAAGUUGACGGUGUAAAUAAGGCUUCAAGUUUACAAAGGUUAUGCUAUUAAAAGGAUGGAGCAAAACCGGGACUGUAGUUGAUGAUGGUGAUGCAAGCACAAGAACUAGUUUUUCCUCAUUGGAAGAGCAUACUUUAUAAAAUCCAUAUACAAGUACGAGGGAGAAAAUCACAGGGGUCUUCCAGUAUAAUCAAGUAAUUCAUUUUAUCCUUUUCCAGCAAAGGCAAUGACCCUGUUACUAAAACCUAUUACAUCCCAAUUCUAUCAUAGGUAAUAGUAACGGUGUCACUGUCUUUGGUGGAGAUGGAUAAAAAAAUUUACUUAAUUAUACUGAGAUACCAUUGCAUUUUUCUUCCUCGUACUUGUGUAUGAGUUUUAUAAAGCAUCAUUUUCUAAUGAAAAAAGUUUUUUGUCGUGCCCGCAUAACCAUUGUAAAUUACAGCUCCAAUCAUACUCCGUCCUUUGAUAGCGUAACAUUUUGUAAACUUGAAGCUCUAGUUACACUUCAAUUUCAGACCGUAUAAUCACCCUUAACUGGGACCAUGAGUUGCAAUGCGAUCUGGCUUCUCGGGUGAUGGCUCCAUACUCACAUGACAAAUGAAAUUUGUAGGUCACCUAACUCCACGACACCACCAUAAAUUCAAACAUUCCUUAAAACUAUAACAGUGUCUAUCUCAAACAAGAAUGAAAAUAAAUGUUCAAACUUCUAAUUUCAAAUUGCAAGAAAAAAAAAAGAAAAAAAUAAAUUUUAGCAAAGUAAAAAUGGGUCCUACCGGCACAUUUUCAUUGCCACAUCAAUGAAAAUACACCUCGUACGACACGUUAUUCUUUCUUCGUAAACAAUGUAAAUCAAUAAAUUUAAAAAAAAAUUAUACAUUCUCAAAUAACUCUUUUUUUCAGCAUUUUUGUUAAAUUUAUCCCAUAAUACUGCUACUUCUUGUUUCCUGGGUUAUUUUUAUUACUGCUGGUUGUACCACCCUCCUACUGUGCGCCGGUUAUAGCAACUCACUCAAGAUUCUAAAUACUAAUAUAAACACCAUUUCUUUUAUUCUUAGUUUUUUUAGUGAUUAACGUGGUUUUAAUUAUCGUUAGAUCACGUGGGUGUUUAUAUGAAAUGCUUGAAAUCGUCACGCAGGACAAAAAAAAAAAAGAAAAAGAAAAGGAAAUGAAGAGUAUAUAUAUAGAGGAAACAACUAGUGAGAGUGAUAUUAAUAUUUAGAGUAGGUAAAGAUAGUAUUAUAUAGUCGCAUAUGCGACCUUGUACAUUACCACUAACUCUAAAACUAGGAUAACUCCAACAAUGAAUAGUACCGCUAUGGAUUUUUAACAUUCAUUUUUAUUCUGUCGACAUCACUAUUUCCCUUCCAUUAGCUGAUCCCAACUUCCAUGACCACACUUCACUUAAUGCUGCAAAUGCAACCACACCAAACAAAACAUUCAUAAAUUAAUAAAUCAAUUGCCAUAAGCGAUAAACUUUGGGUCAUUUUCUUUUUCCGUAAUUUCAAAGAAACCUAGUUUAAAUUAGAUACGAACCUUUUGCAGUCAGUGGAAGGGCUGAUCUUGUAAGGGAUGUUGAUACCGCACUUGCCUGGGAGUCCGGCUGCAGUGCUAUAGUUGAUGCCAGAAAUGCCGGUGGCCGCACUUUUGAUGCAGCUGCAAGCUGCUUGCCGGUCUGGUGUUGUUUUGGCGGCAGAGUUGAGAGAUCUGAUGCCGUUGCAGCAAGCUGGGGGAGCAGAACCAGCACCAUUCCCUUUCAAGUAAGCAAUGCAGGGUGCGAGGGCGCUUGUGAUUUGACCACAACUUAUGGCCCCUUGAGCCAGGGGUGCACCCACCACCAUGCAAAACACCACCACAC
rnacentral:lncRNA from 1 species